ensembl:lncRNA
GGGAAAUAUAACACAGCAGGAAAAAGUGUCUUGUGAAAACACCAGAUUAUUACUGAUUCAGUAGAGGUGAACAUGCAUUCCUUUCCAUUCGUUUCAGCAUCUCUGCGGUGGGACUGAGGUCUGUCUCAUCUUCCGUAGAAGAAAUGCUUCCCCUUCCCUGUCACCCAGGCUCCUGUGGUGUCAUGGCUCCUGCCCUUUCACAGAAAAUCAUUCUCCUUAGUCCUACCCUCCAGAGCAGGUAGCUAACAGUUGAGGCUGGAAAAUUACCUUAGGACCCUUCUGGAGACAGUAAACUCUUGAAGAGGUCAUCAGAGCCAAGUUGUCUUCUUAGUAUGGAACCAGCCUUCCUGUGGCAGGACAAGGUGGCACAGAGUGAUGCAAUGAGGAGAUGAAUGUCUUAGUGGGUUUAUCUGUUGCAGAUGAAUCAGAGAUUUUCCGUCACUUGCGAAUUUAAAUGUUUAUUGUUGCCAUUAAUCUAACAUCAGAGUUUAAAUACCUCACGUGGCUUUUAAAAUACAUGUCCUAAUGUUGCUCAUGUCCAUAUGAGCAGUAAUUUGCCGUUAGAUUCAAAUUUAGGAUUUUCUUCCCUUGUCUUUGAUUUGAAACUGUUAAAUCUUGUAUUCUUUGUAUAGAGGGGGAAAUAACUAGUGAGAUGACAUACAAAGAUCAGGCAAAAAUCUGCAGAGAUGGAGCUCAGAAAUAAUGCUUUAAACUGCAUGGAAGACCUUGUGGCUGCAGUGCAAAGUAGGACUUUUAGAAACACUGUUUGCAAAAGCCAAUAGGGAAAGCCACGAAACCUGGUUCUAUUCCUCAUCUAUUGUAUAAACUUGAAGAACUUGCUUUGUAGUUUCCUUCUGUUUUCCUGUCACCAGUGAAUGUUUUAAUUGCUCUUGUUAAAGCGCUUCAGCAUAAAUCUUGAAUUGAUAUCCUUGCAGACUUAAAUAAGUUUAAUUACAGUCCCUUUCCUCCUCACCCAUGCUUUCCCAAAACAGGAAUAACUGGACUGUUUUUUUUCCCAAAUUGUACGAUUGACUGAUGUGUUGCAGCUGCUGAAGGUAGGAUUUCCUAGUACAGAUAUCCAGUGAUCAGCUUCAGAUUAAGAAAACAAUUGGAUAUGUGACGUCCCCAAUUUUGUUAGGAAAGUGGUCUGGCACAAGGCAUUUCCUUAUUCAUUUUAUGUAGCAAGCAGUCCUGUGCAGGCUGCUUUAUGUUAGUGUUGUCUAACCUUACCCUCAACCAACUGGAGCUUGGUGCAUUGUGGACAGAUGCCUUACCUGUAGGCUACUGAAGAGGGAAAUACAGUUUAUAUCACUAGAAAGCACUAUGUCAGGCUCAGUGUUGUACUUGGCAUUGUCUGUUUGCAUGGCAAAGCACAGUGUUCCUGAUCUCCUCAUCACAUCCUUAGACUGCAGGAACUGCUGCAGCAGUGGACUGUCAAGAGGCACAGCAAAUAUCGCCUUUGGUGUGCCCAUAAGCAUUUUGGCCAGUGUUCUGCUUCUGAAAAUAAAAGAAGUGAAUUUGAGCAGGCAUUCGGCUCUGGCUUACCAUUAAUGCAUUAAUCCCUGGUGUGGGGCUGAGGAAGUAGCUCAUAAAAACCAAAACUCGUUGGAAUUUUGGUUCUGUGCUGCUUCAUUGGCCUGGCUGCAGCUGUACCAUGGUAGGCAUCUACAUUCUGUCACUAAAGUGAGCACACUCUCCUGAAGAAUGGGUACUGAGCACUGCUAUGCUUUGGUUCAGGGAUAUUAAAAAUCAUGCAGUGUGAAUAGAAAUUACCCUUUUUUUUUAAUUAAUGUAUACAUAAUGCAGAAGAGAUGAGACAAGGAUUCCUUCUAUCUGAUUGGUCCUAUUGCUGUCCAGAUUUCCUUGCUGUUGUCUUCCCUCAUGCAUAUUUGGACAGAGAUAUCUCAUCUUCCUUCUGUGAUGCUAGAAAUGCAUGACUGUGGAAACAACAAAUUUUCUUGACCACUUUCUGCUUUUGAGAAGCCAUUCCUGCUCUUUGAAUCCAGAGCCAUCCUCGUCUUUCCUGAAAUACAUAUCUAUAAGGAAUUUAUUUUAAUUAGAGAGCUACAGGAAGCAGAAUUCCCAUCCUGUGGGAGUCUUGUAUCCGAUUUUUGUGUUUUGAAUUGGUGAGCUUGGACUACCCACCCCAGGACUGGCAGGCAGCCGAGCAGGAAGCUGGACGGACUUGUUGCCUUUCAAAGAGCAUUUUGAUGGAAUCGGCACAUUUCCAUGCGAUCCAUGUUUUGCAGUGUAAAGGUUGUUAUGUUGGGAUGUUACUUUGUGCAGUUCUGUAGUUGCAGUUUUAACUAGUUACUUCUGGGAAAUCGUUGGCUAAUUUUUGUUGCUGUCAGAGUCUGUCUUCCACAGAAACAUGAACUCUCUUCUCACAAGGAAAUCCACAUGGAAGGAUGUUCUCCUUCAACUGGUGUGAAAGAGCACUCGAUGCAUAUCAGUAUAGAUAGGUGAGCUACCAGACCUUAUGUUCCCUGUCUAUGUCUCUCAUGACAGUAACUGACAAAAUUGGUGCUAAAUGUUUCAUAUUUUCUUGUAAUAGUUUUUGCUGGUGAAAUCUAGGCCCUGCAGGACACAGUUCAUGCAUCUUUUGGUGGGGCCAGGUGCUAAACUAGGAGUGGUCAAUGGGGAGCCCAGCUCAGGGGAGGCCAGUUUAGCCUGGAGAGCAGUGUGGAAGUGCACUACAUUAAUACAGCUUGUGCUUUGUCAGGACAUUACUGUGCUCUCAUUUCACAGAAGUCCUGCAAAUAGAGCUUGGCAGCAUGGUGCACAUAUUUGAAGCAGUUUGUGUUGUCUUUUUAAACCAUAUAAAUAAAUCGCACUUGACUCUUCAGGUCAUCAAUCUCCUGCUCAAAGUAAGGCUGCGCAUGAAACUAGAUGAAGCUGCUCAAUGCUUUUACUAAUUGAAAAUCCCCAAGAACUGAGAGCUGGUAGCCUUUCUAGCCUCUUCUUCUACAGUUUGCUCAUUUUCACACUGAACAAUUUUUUCCUUACGUCUAAUCAGAAUUCACCUCGCUGCAGCUUGCAACUGUGGCUUUUUGCCAUUUGGCUGUGUGCUCCUGACAAGUUGUAUGUCCUCAGUAACCCCCUCUAGGUAAGCAAGGGCGCUAAUAAAGGAUUUUGGCUGAUAACAAGUGUUCUGUGUGUUGCAAGGAUCCAGGAGUUGUCUUUUGAGAACGCUUCCUCUCUUUGGGCAUGGAAGUGGUAAGAAGCAUCAGAAUCAGAUUCUCAAGAUAUAGCCAUGUUAUCAAAUGACGCUGGCAUUUACUGGACUUCUGUAACAUCUCAUCCAACAUUCUUCAAAUCCACUGGCACGACUGAACUAGGUGUCUAGCACUUAAGACAGAUCUAACUCAUCUUCACUCUAUUUCUAGUUUUUUUAAAUAAAUGAAUUCCCCUCCUUAGGAGAUUCUUUGCAUUUUGAAGUUGUGAGCUUACGUUGAAUCACCAGUUCAGCAGUUCAAUGUAAAUAAUUUCAAGUAGUGUCAUAACUCAGUUGCUUAAGUAGUUGCUGCCUUCGGAGGAAACAUGAGUGCAGCAUUGGUUCUUGGGAGAAACUAACCUAGUGGCUUUUGAGUAUGUCCUGGGGAUGAAUUUGUUAUUUAUGAAGCAUUACAAAUUGUAUCAUUUCAAAUGAACUGGUCCUAAACGUAAUUCCUUAAUGGCUGGAUACAUCUGAAAAUGCAGGCAACUUUGUGUUUUUAAUUGUUGGCUGUUGGAGCUUCAGUGUUUGCACAGUCACUGUGUGAAAGCUGUAUGCAUAAAUCCCUUCAGAGGGAAAACACAAAAAUAACCAAGAACACCAUUAGAAAGAAGAAAGAAGGGAACUUUGCUGUCGUGUAAUCAGUUUGUACAGAUUUGGGCCUUCUUUUGUAUGUAUAGAGUGACUUCACUGUAGCCCAUCCAGGGUCACAAUAGUUAAGUCAUUCCAUAGAAAUCAAAGGAGGUAUAAUCUUGUGAAACCUGCUUAAUAGGGAAAGCGUAGCCUUUGAAUCUAGAAGCUGAACUGGCUAAGCAAACAUCUAAUAUUGACUUGAUUCCUUAGUCUGAUUGCCUACCUUUAGACUUGGAGAGUAAAACUUAUCUCUAGCAAAAUGAAAUAUACAUCUUAAUUAUGUUUUUAACACAUUUACCAUCUUCCUAAAAAAGCAUGUAUGCCUGGUACUCCUCUCCCAGUAAAAGGUAGCUGUUUCAACUCCCUCUGUGCUUAAUGUUUUCUCCCAGCUUCUCUUCCAGUAUUCAAGACGCAUGGGGAACUGGAGGACUGAUAAUGUGGCUGUUAAUUAAAUAAAUGUGCAUUGAGAUUCAAGAGGUUAGAGCCUACAGGACUUAACUGCAAACUGUUUUUUUCCAUACUCAAGAGGCAUGAGUCAGAUUUUGCAAAGUGAGUCAAAUCUAUCCUUAUAUUCAUUUGAAGACACAGUAAUGGAUGUAGGGUUUGAAAUAGUGUUACACGUAGAAAUGGGUUAUUACACUGACUGAGCUUGUAACGCUCUCUUGGUGUGGCAAGGGGAUCUGGAUGGACCUCCGUGGUUGGGAAUGUGGAAGGAUCAGAAGUUCAGUCCCUGGAAAGAGUGAGUAGUCCUGCAGCCUGGAGGGUGUGGAAAGAUUUUUUUUUUUUUUUUUUUGUGGGAUUUGCUCAUACUUAAUGAUACUGAUGAACUGUGGUUGGUCUUCAGCAUAACGGCAGCAUGUGAGGGUGGUCCCUGGGCUUUGAAGUGACUGUGAGGAGAAACCUACUGAACACAUCCUUGGAGAUGCUUGUUCAGGACCUAAGCAUGCUUGCAAGAAGGGCAGUAUCCUACUAACGCCUUCUUUUAAAUAAAUCAGUUUAUUUUUAUUUUGCGUUUGUUCUCUCUAUCUUCAACAGGGUGGGUAGUGUUCCCGGCAAUCCAAUAAAGCUGUCCACUUAGGUCAAAUGUGCUGGAGCUGCAGCCCUUUGACAGGAUGUGACUCCUGCAUGUUUGGCUGGCUGUGUCAUGCACAAACACUCCCUUUCCUCUGGAGGAAUUACAUGACAAUUGAACGUAGAGGCACAGUCAACUUCCAAGGCUCUGUUUCUUCUGUGUUCCCAUGUUUCACCCUCCCUCUGAGAAAUCUCUAAUUUUGAUUGUGAAUCUUGACCAGGAAAUGAAUUUGAUGGCUCCAUUCUUACACGUCAGUCUUUGACUGGCCACAGUCAACAUCCUAAUAUUGUGCUCUGAAUUGUGAGUAAUACCUCCUGUCUGGCUUACAUCUUGAAUGAAAUGGAAGACAGGCAUGAGUUUGGUUCUCCUAUUCUUGUGUGUAAUCAAUCUAGAAAGAAUGCUUUAGAUUUGCUUCGCUUCCGCAUUUUUUUUUGUGAGGACCCUCAACAAAUAAAUGAUGGAAUUCAAAUGUAGCAGUUCAAAGAACAUCAUUGCUGUUCCUUAUUUGUGGUACAAAGAUGAGCUGGCAGCACCAGUUACAUGGUUCCCUGUUACUCACAGCCCCUAGUAGGGCUCUGGCUGCUUUUAAUUCUGCCUGUAGCUCAAACAGCUCUGAGAUUUGACUUUGAAGAACGCUGUGUUUUUAGCAUUGUACAGUUUCUAGGUUGUUCAGCUCUCCAUUACCUUUUGUAGAGGUUUAUGUUUUAGAAGGAAGUGUAGGAAGAUUGGGAUUCAGUGCUUUCUUUUUUUUUUUUUUUCCCCCUAGUUUAAUUUCUGCUAAAACUUUAUGACACAGAGAUGUAGAAUAAGCUGCAUAUACUAGUUUAUUUGUGCGAAAUUUGGUGGUAGGUUACUCUGCUUGUUUGUCACAUGUCCUACCAGGAUCCUAAGAGAUGUCCCCAGCCCCAGCUCAGUGUGUCUCCAGCAAAGUGCUGCUGACUGCAAGUGGGAGCUCACAGCAUUGAACAGACAUCAGUUGUGCCUGCAGCCCUGGUGUUCAGCAGCACAGCAUCUCUGUAUCCAGCCAGUGUCUCUUCACAACUGCUGCUCUGGGUUCAGUCCUUGAGGUUUUACUCUGUGCUCUUUUUACCCCUUUCCUAAUUCCUCUCUUGAAUGCCAUCUGUAUCAGUAUAUGGCUGCAUUUCCACUAUGCAGUCACCCUGGAGGCAUUUUGUAUGUAGGAAUGCUAUAGAAAUUUUAUAGACUACAUAGGAACGCUAUUCGUGGCCCGUGGUUAUGGAUGCCAGAGUACUCCAGUGAAGAUAAGUUAAUAAAUGAGCACUAAGGUUUGCUCAAGAUUUCUUUAACAGAGACACUUCCAGGACAGCACGAUAAACCCAUCAGCCGUGUUAUCAGCUAUGUGUCUUACCUCUCAGCUAUUUAUCAGAAGUUCUUGUUGGACUGCUGAGUUAACACAGAAUUCUGCAAUAAUUGCUUUGUUUUAAUAUUUUAUUGCUUAUUGAAUGCCAGCAUAAUAGUUGAAUCUGUCACUUUCAACUUCCAGUCUACUGGAAUACAUGGUAGUAUCACACAAUUUAUGUAUGAAAUUCACCCUGUUGAUUCAUGGUUUGUUACUACCUAGUGUAAAAUAGAGAUGAUCUUUCUGACCCCAGCCUCGUAAAGUGAAUUAUCAUGGUUUCCCCAUCUGUGCAUGUAAUGUAUGUGUUUUAGCAAGCGUUUGUCAAAAGGGUAUUGAGUCCUUCAGUGCUUAAGAGGUCACCUUAUUAAAAGCGAGCCUGUACUACAACGCCUUUUUACUCCUUUUUUCCAUUUCUAGGUCAGAUGAUUCAGGUUUUCCUCAGUGCUUUUAACCUUGUGCCAUCUGAGCGGCUUGCUUGAGGGGCAGCAAUGCUUCUGACAAAACUCUACCUUCAGUAGGAUGGUUCUGUUUCACUGUCUCGUUUUCUUCUGCAAUUUUGACUCUUAGUUUCUUGCCCUUUCUUUUGUUCCUUUGUUUUUUCUCAGGACUCAGCUAGUAUCCUAAUGAGUGCUUCUCUUCAGUUUUCUUUACCUCUCACAUUUUCCUCUCUUAGCGUAGAAGUCCAUACUUGAACUAGGGAAGAAAAACAAACCAGCACAGGCCUAUGGCUCUUGCCAUCCAUCAGCUGUUAUGGAAAUGUAGACAUGAUUGCUAGUGACAGGACAAAAAACAGAGUAUUGUAACGUUUCUUAUUCUCACUUGAACAAAAAAUUCUCUAGCUUGCUGGAUGUCACCUGAUUGUAUUUUGUUUGUAUUUUGAAGGUUCAUAACCUUCUGUUGUGAAAUAGGAGAGCAUUCCCAGAGCACUUGCGGAUCAUGCUACUUUUCAAGUACCUAAAAUAGACUUUAAAACACUGUUAGGAGUGUGAAAGCAUAUGGGAGCACGCAGGUAGCUGUCUUGUUUGGGGGCAGAGCAAUUGGAGAAGGGGUGGCAGAACUGUGUUUAAAGCUAUUCUGCCUUGAUCCUGCAGUGCUCAUCCAGUAGAGAAAUUCUGCAUUGAUGAGAUCUUUGCUGGAGCAGUUGCUGUAUUUGGAAAGCAUGAAGUAAUUCAGACUUUAAAAUUUGUUUUGUUUUGAAUUGAAGGUGAUGGGCUUGCAUGAAAGUUACGUUGGUGUAAAUGAAAGCUGAGUUUGGUCCUUUCUGUUCUGUGCUUCUUAGCCACGUGAUACGUUUCCAUAAAUCAUGCACUUGAAAGGUUUUCUUGCUUCCUGCUUUUACCAGUCAGAUCAUAUAAAAUGCAGAUGAACCGAGCUUCUGGUUUAUAAGCCUCAGCAGAGCACCCCCUCCAAAUCCCCUUCUGUCACACCAGCCCUGCUUCCCCUGUUUGAAAAGGAGAUAGCAAGAGUGACUAACUGAAGCUACUACAGUGGAGUUUUUUGGUCUCCUCCCUUUCUUAUUUUGACCUGUACUUUGCUUUCGUUAUAAAGUGAACGUAGAAAUUACCCGGUGGGAGUGGUGAAACUGCAGCAGAGAAACAAAAACUAUUUGGAUUCUCCCGAAAGCUAUUCAUUCGCUUGCUCUUCUUUUUAUUAACGGCUCGAAGCAUGCAGCUUGUCUUGUUCUGACUACGUAUCCCUCAGCAAGAACGGAGAGUGCACCAAAUGAUGAGAGGAUUGCUCUGCAAGUCUCCAGUGAAGAGUUUUUUGUUUUCUUUCCUUAAAGCCACCUAAGAAACUCCAUACACGCUAGGGAUAUUGAGGGGCGGUUGCAGGAAGCUGCUACAGGGAAGGAGGCUUACAGUUUCCUAAAGGUUUGGGACUGUGCGAUGAAGCAGCCUAUUUUAGAUGCUACGGAGAAUGUUCAGAGCAACAUGGUCAAAAGCCUUAGGCACCAUCUCUGCAGUGGGCUUGGUGCAAACAGAUGAGUCGGCAGCAUUCCAGCGAGGAGGAUGGACGGCCUUGAGAGCCUUUGCCACGGCCAUGGGCAGCGCUCAGGUGUGUAGCAUCGUACUGCGUGGCACAAGGUUGCUUUGGGGUUACAGCAGUAAAUCUGUGAGAACGAAUCGUGUUCUGGAAGUGGUGUAAGGGCUCUCUUCUGGGCAAAGCCCCUUGCCGGUGUCUAAUCUGCGCCUUAAUGCUCCGCUUGGUAAAUCCAAGCUGGCAAUUCUGCCUAACUGCGGAUGGAGAUGCCAACAUCAAAAUACCUUUCUUGAUAAAGAACAGUGGAACCUUCCGUGUCCACAGUCAGAAUGAAAAGCCUUAUAAAGGCUUUAUUCCUUUUUCUAAUCCUCAUUACACUUAGGGAUGUGCAGCAUGGGUGGCAUUUGGCACUGGUACAAAGACAAUAACUUCGUACAUGUGCCCAUACCUGUUGACAACUGCACAGGGUUCAGUUGCUGGCACAUGAGUGAUGCUUCUGAGACACCUCAUGGGACGUUCCCAUGGGGCUGGCAGGUACAUCAGGAGUUUUCUGGGAGUAUCCCAGUGUUGUGGAAUGUUAGUUGCAGGCCAAGUACAGCACCUGACAUGACAGGAGGCAUAGGUGCUAUUCUUAGGCAAAUAAUUCUAGUUCUGAGUCUGCUGAGGGGUGUGAUAGUGCUCUACAGGUACUGCUGUGUUGACUGGGUCUCUACUGAGUGUUUCCCGUGUUAUAUUUCAUCCACACAUAAGGGGAAAUAAAUAUGAAUAAGGAAUAGUGUAAAAAUUAAAAGCACUUUCACAUCCUUGCAAUGAACAUCUCAGAACUUGGAAUAGUGAAUUGGGGUGCAAAGAAAUUUCAGCAUUUUUUAUACAGCUGGAAUCUGAUGCAGAAGAAAAUCAUGAGGCCCAGGGCCAGUAAAUUCUUAUGAGUGUGAUAAUAUUUAUUGCUUACGUUUUCCAUAUAAAUUCAUCAAGUCAUCAUCGAAUGGUGUGAGUCGGAAGGGAUGUUAAAGGCAAUCAUGUUUCAACCUCCAAAUUUGAGUAUCAAGAUCACAUAUUUCCCCAUUAUGCUUUAUUUAUUAUUUUUAAUUAGAAUUUUUGGUUGUGUUUUGUCAUAUCGUAGUAAAUAGUGAAUUGUUUUUCUGUGGGAGUAGAGGAGAACAUACAUUUUGAGCCAAAAGACUGCAGCACCUAAGAAAAUUGGGCUUCUGUUUUUAAUUGCCAAUUUCUUUCUCUUUCCUGUCAGCCUUGAUUUAUAGGGAAAAAAAAUCAACAAGCCCAUUGUGAUGCUUUUGAUUAGGUUUCAACAGAGAUGAUAAAAGUAUAGUGUCCUUUUGUGAAAGGAGUUUUUAAUUAUUGUUAAUUGUACUUGCUAGCUUCAUUUCUGAAGGGAAACGGAGGUGACCUCAUUCCAAAAGUUGUCAGUCUCAAGCUAGUGUCAUUCACCGCCUGGAAAAGAUGUUGUUCUUUUGUUUCUUUUUGCUUUUCUUAAUGAGGAGCUGUCAGCUGGCCUGAUGGUCCCUGCAGCUUUGGAAACACUUUCCAAACUCAGUUUCAGUAGCUUUCUUGUUUCUAAAAUGUUCAGCUUAAACAACAGGGCUGAAUUACGUCAGAGGAGCACAGGAACAGUGGAGGAUUUCAGAUGUGUGGUCGGCCUGUCUGCUUGAUAACAUCUCUAACAGCAGCAAGUAUGGAAGAUCUGGGGAGAGGUUAUGGAGUUCUUGUUUUAAGGACAGUUGCAGAGAUUUGAGGAAUCGCGUGUCUUGUUUUUUCAUGCACAUCAUUGCUCUUGAAUGUUUUUCAUUAUUUACCCAAAGGCUUGAUCUGUGAACCCUUAGAAGAUCUCACCUCUGGUAUUCUUGUGGCAUUGAGCUCCACACUUGACCUGUGCUUACAAAGGCAAUGAGUAUUCCCCCACUCUCCAGGCCAUAAACCAUGCACGGCAGUGGGAGUUCUAUUUGUUCGUGCACGUUGCUGCUCUCAGUGCAUUAAGACCAGUGUCCAGUUGGGAUUGUAUUAUAAGUAGCUAAAUAUAUACAUAACUUUAGUUCAUUGUAUGUUUCCUUACAGUAAGAGAAGGAUGAGCAGGAGCGCUUCUUUUGUCUCUCUUCAUAGUUCUUCAUUUCACACACUGUUCCUUUGUUUCAUUUUACAUGAACUGCCUCUAAAUACCUGAAACUUUACAAUUCCAUUUCAGUUAAUCCAGUGCAGUCUGCCUCUGUGUCUGCUGUAUCUCAGCCUUACUCAGAAUCCCCAUUUCUCAUCAGUACCUCCAUACUCUCUCAUAAAGAUGCUAUGAUAAGCUUGGCUGGCAAGUUGAUCCCACCUUUGUUGCCUGUUGCACAGCAAUGCAUAGAGUCAGAUUUUCACAACUGUUGUCUUUUAACAUCAGACUCCAUGUGAGAUCAUCAUCAGUGAGUCUUCUGAACCCCUGGGCUGGAUCUUUGCUCAGUUAUUGCUCAAGCAAACUCUUGCUGACUUUAAUCACUCUGCUACUUUUCUGUCACAGAUGCUUAUUUAAAGCUGCUGAUUCCUCCUCAGUACUAAAACUAUUGACUUGGAGACAAAGAGCAAGGUGCCAGCAGGUCCCUCUGCAAGGGAAUUAGUGUUCCACUAUUUAGUUUUCUAACAGUGGCCUGGAGAAAUCUGUAAGGUCAGUGAGUUACAUUCAGUGGAUAUCAUCACUACUUUGCUAAAUUUAGCAUUGUGAACCCCAGCCUGGAGCACCCAGUUCAUCUCAUUCCUUUGCUUUCUGCUGCUCAUUAUAAGACAGGUUUCAGGUCUCAGCGAUAUGAGACGUUAGGGCUGUCUGAAAAGGUUUUUAUUCUGUGGCAUCCAACGUUUCAUUUGGGCAACAGGAACAGUUUUCUUGGAGGAAGGAAGACACAUGUUUCAGUUAGAACACUGAACUCUGGUCACCUUACACCAGCUUGAUUUUGUCUUCCUUUUUGCCAUCUGCAGCACAGUGUUAACAGCUGCGUCUUAAAGGUUUAUGCUGAAAUCACAGAAUCGUGACAUUUUGUUAAGAUUUCUGCAAUUUUGUCAAAAUAAAUGCAAAAUAGAAAUACUAUUAAAUUUUUUCAUCUCCCAGACAGAAGUGAGUUUGGUAUCUUGCAUUGCUUUAUUUCCUAUUUGUAAAAGGUGUGGGACUGUUCUCAUCUUUCAUAAAAUGGUAGAAUCAUUUGAGUUGGAAGGGACCUUUAAAGGCCAUCUAGUCCAACUCCCCUGCAGUGAACAGGGACACCUACAGCUCUGUCUACUUUCUCCAAAUCUGAGUUAUCAUGUGAGGUACUCUGCCUGCUGAAGGUGCGUUCAGACAGAAGCUGUAGGGUGUCGUUUCUGAAAUGGUGAGUACUGUGUUGGGGACCUGUGUGUAUCAGCACAAGGUGUACAGUUCAUCACAGUGAACAGAAAAGCAGAAUAUGAAGUCCUGCCCCUCAUUUUCACAAACUGUUGCAGGAAUUGUAGCUUAUGAGGUAUUUCUUGAGUCAUCAGACUGCCUUUUGUACAGUUUGUCUCCCAGAUUCUGAAAGGGAACGAAUGAGCCACUUCUACCUGCUGACAUUAAAGGCUCUUCAGAAAGAGUUACCCUGCCUAGAAGAGAUGCAGAGAGAUUUCUUAACACUAAACUGCCCAAAGAUGAAUGAGGAGCUGUAUCCUGAGUUCAGAUGGAGAGUAUAUCUUCUCCCUACCAAAGAAUAUUUUCAAGUGCUGGAGAGAAAGCAAGCAUGGAUGUUGUGGUGGCAGAUGCAGAGCCGUGGGAGAGCAGGUUUAUUCUCGUCUUUCACAUCUUUACAGCUUCCCACGUUGCUUUUUGUCCGUGGGCAUGGGACGCAUACGCUUCAUGUAGGCAAAACUUGAAUAAAAUGGGAAAACUACUUAGAACUGCCCCAGGGCAAAAAGAAAUGGCGGCAAGAAUACCAAAGGAUUGAGCAACCUGGGCAUGUUGUUUCUUUUAAGGAUUCUGACUAUAAAUGACGUCACUUAGAUAGUUGGGAUGUUUGUGAGCACUACAGGGCUUGGAAAGGGAAAGCCAAUCGGAAAAACACUGGGAAGCUGAACAAUUUGUUAUGUUUUAUGACUCCGUGGUAGUUAAUGGGGCAGCCAUUACUCAUGCGCUGUCACUGCACAUCUAGAAAAUUCCUCUGGGUUUCAAAACUGGCAGGAAAAAGUAGUUUCCUAAAAACCACUGAAUUAAUGAGACAAAGCCUAUUGCUCAGUCCCGGACAGGAAGGGUCAGAGGCGGAGUUAUGCACAACUCGCAGAGUUGGAAAUCUUCCAUGCGUGAUGUUUCAAAGAGCAGAAAGUGCUGGGGGGAAUUAGUGGUGCAGAAGGCAGGCUUAGCAUCUCUCUUUCAUAACAAACUACUGUCGAUCUGGGGAGAAAAGAGCUUGAUUGGAUUGUAGCAGAUCAUUUUUUUUCCAUUCCCUUACCUCCAUAAGUGUCUGGUACUGAGGUGCAGAACUGCUAAAGAGAUGGGAUUUGAGUAAAGCGUGUCUUACUCAUGGGCAAUAGCACAAGGCAGUGUACCAGCAAUACUGAAACUUGAACUUAAGAACGUGUGCUUACAGAAGAGAAAAAAGCAUUUGUUUUUUAUCUUCAUUAUACAACUUUGUGUUUUCACAGUUUUAUAAUUCAUUUUCACGUCUGUCGUUUUUCUGGCUUUCUGUUUUGUAUGCGAGGGUUAUUCCAUAGGUUUAAACAGUGCAGUUUGCUUAUUUACUUCAGUUAUUUUAGUUAUUUCAGCCUAUCCUGUCUCAUCCGUACAGGGUACACAUUAUCUUCAUCUUAACUGGAAACUGAAUACCCAUUUUAUGGUCCUUGAAAGCAGGAUGAGUGCUGUUUCAGUUGGCUGUUUUACAGCUCAGUGUAAACAGAGGACUGCUUCCGCCUGGAAACGCAAGUGGAUCUGUUCUCCAGCAAACUUCUGGCACACCUCCUCUCGUGCAGAAAGUGCUGAUUGUUCAUUGGCUAUAAGGGAAAUCUAUAGAGUGUCUGAGGUACAAUACAGUGAUUAAUAAUAGAGUCAGCAAGACGCUGUAACAAUUCUGCUGCAAGUUUGUUGUGUAUUACAGUACCUCAAACAUAAUUGCAUUCAUUCCUCCAUUUAUUUCAGUCUGUGCUUCUAUUUUGCAUCCAUUUUGCUUUCUGUUUGUUACUCUCCUUGCAGUUACAUCCAAGGUUCUACUUACUCUUUCUCCUAUACACACACUUUCAUCCAGAAUAUUAGCAGUUUCACACAGACAGAGGUAACAGCAGAAGUGGUGUAUUUUUAGCUUCACGUCAUUAGCUGUGUACAUGCAGCAUGCACAGUCUUUUGAAACAGGCAGUACUGAGAAGGUUCUGAAUUUUCUGAAAAGCACGUAGAUGCUGAGCUUUACGUCCUUGGAUUUUUGCUCUUGGUUAUGGAACUCACUGUCUGGGCCAGAAUGAGGAAAUACUUCCUGUAUCUGCUGUGAAAAAGUGCUGGAUCACAGAAUAGCUCAGUUUUCACCACAGCAGAAAAGGAACUUUGAACCAUGACUGCAGCAGUUGAGGAACACUUCAGGACUUAUGAGGAUAGCAGCAGUGUGAUGUAAUUCUCAUUAUUUUGGACUCAGAGCAAUCAGGAUAGAGGGAGGCACUUCCAAGAAACCUUGUUUGUGAUGUGUUAAACAAAUGUUGGGGCACCAGUAAACGCAGUCAUGUGUGUAUUUGGGCAGCAAGCACAGAAGUGCUCAGAUGAGCUCUGAGAGGGCUUGUCAGGGUGCCAGGAGUAGUGUGGCCACUUUAAGAGUCAUGGUGUUGUGCUGAAUGUCCACUGCUUCCAUAUUUUGGGCUGGACGGAGGGUGUAGCAGGAGGCUAUGAUGGUAUAAAACACAGCUCUCUUGCUUUCAGGGUAGGAGCUCUCGUAGCAAGACUGCUGCCUCCUUACUGCCUUGUUAGGGAAGGAGCUCUAGUGUCAGCAUUGUUUUUGUCGUGUCAUAUAUUCAUCAAAGUUGGAAAAGACUUCUAAGAUCAUCUAGACUAACUGUAAAGCCAUCACUACCAUGCCCACUAACCACAUCUCUCAGUGCCAUAUUUCCCCUUUUCUUAAACACCCCCAGGGACGGUGACUCCACCACCUCUCUGGGCAGCCUGUUCCGGUGCCUCACUACUCUUUCUGAGGAUAAAUUUUUCCUAAUAUCCAACCUGAGUGGUGGGUUCCAGGCUCUUUCAGGGGACUUGACUGAUGUUCAUACUGAUGGUUUGUUUUGUUUGUUUGUUUGUUUGUUUGUUUGUUUGUUUGUUUUACCUAAAUGCGAGUUGUGGUUGAGUCUAGAUGAGAAUCGCUCCAGAUGGGACGCCUUUAAUCAUGAGCAGCAGGUCACACCAGGCUCUAAGACCAUACAUUGACACCCAAGCAACUACUUGAGUUUGAUCACUCCAGGCUUUUCCAUUCUGCCCAAAUUUAGGCAGAAUAAAAGAAAACCUGACACUUAACUCACUGUCUCUCCCUUUAAAUCCCUUACCCUGCAGUGUGAGCUGGGGGGAGAGGACUGGCUGGCAGCACGGUGACAGGCCACAUGUCUGGCACCCUGCCUGGUGGCGAGGGGUGCUCGCCAUGCAGCCGUCUGCGCAGACAGUCAUGUCGUGCUGCUCUGUGCUGAGUCACCCAUUAAACAGAAAGACUGUGGGCUUCCUGAAGCUCCAGUCACGUGUAUUGUGCACCAGUAAAAAAAAUUUUGGCUUGCUGCUGUUAGAAACCUAACUUAAUUUUACCAUUAAAGAGGGCUUAAUAUAGUCUACUAAUGUUAUCAUUGUUCGCCUCAUUUCCCUUCUCUGCUGAUUGUGUCUCCUUCCCUGUUUUCUCUCCAUGCUGAAAGGAAGCUGCUAGAACAGCCAGCAUUGCUGAGAGGCAGACCAUGCCUCUGGAGGAUGCUGUUCUGUGCCGGAAUGUGGGCACUUUGCACAGUCUGGUAGCACAACCCCACACCAUGCCAAGUUGUCCUCCUGUCACCUGCUCUACACUUGGAGUUUGUAUGCAGAUCUGUGUGCAUACCACAUUCAUAUCCCUAUCAGGUUAUCCUUCUGAAGACUGCCUUCUCUUUUUUUCUCUUUUUUUCUUCUAUCUUAUUUUGCCAGGCCCUUUUCUGCUGCUGACGUUACUUACUUUCCCAGUCAUCGCUUUGACAGUUAUAUCCUUUUAACCUUCACAGUUGCUACAGUAGACAAUUGUGGGGAUAAUUCAGAAUGAAUUUACUUGGCCAGUAUUAAAACCACAAAGAAAUCCAAAGUAAUUCUGUGCAAAAGGAAUCCCUUGAUGAAAUUAUUUGCAAGGGGCUGAAAGGGGAAUACAUUGUGAAAACCCAGUCCAGCUGCAAGGCAGUGGCCUUGGGGACACCACUGUGGGCUGGUGGCUGCAUAUGUCACGUCAAACCUGUUCUUACCACUGCACAAUGAAUGCAGAAUGGUCAGCAUUGCUGAGCAGGGAGUGGACCUUGCCGACAGAUGCUUACUGCUAUUUAUGUUGUGUGUUACCUCAGUGAGUUUUGUGUCUUUAGUGCAGUUCUGUUCUCUGUUCAGUUCCCCUUUUCUCAUCGUGUCUAAGAAAUGAAAUUGAAUUUGCAAAUUAUUACAAAUUGGUAUUAGGAUGCCUGUUAACGGAUCAGACUAAAUGAAAGGCAUGCCAUGAAAUAAGUGAGCUCAUUUAGUAAUUGAUGAAUUAAUUUCAUUAUCCCUCUAUUGCAGAUAGGAGAAUUCAAAUGCGGGCCAAAUAAAGACCUUUACUCUACUAAGUCACCAGGAUUGUUUUGAUUUGUUCUGUCACGGUUUACUGUUCCUUAGUAGCCACAUUUUUACAAGUAGUAUGUUGCACCAUUCAUUAAAGACCACUUCUAGGCUAGCUUCUGUAUCCUGAAUUCAUUUGAAGCUUCAAAGUUUGUAGUCAGUUUUCCUUAGCACUAAUUCUUCAUCCUUAUCUUCUUUUCCCUGUGUAAACAUUCAAUACAUUGUCCAGGUUGAAUGUUUAUCUUGACACGGUGUCCUUAAUUUUUGUGAUCUCUGCUAAUCAUAUUCUUAAUACAUUAAUCAGAAGGUCUUCUACGCAACAGCAUCCUCUCUGUACACAUUCUGCAUCUUCCCUCUUGGAAGUUUUCUCCCCUAGCACAUAUUUGGCUACUGCUGCAGUCAAGUUGCAGGUGCACAGAGGUGUGCAUCAUUUCAUCCGUCUCCUGAGACGUUUCCCUGACUUUGACACAUCUGAACUGACAGCGGUCAGCUGCAGCUCAGUAUCACUUGAACAGAAAGGAGCUUUCUCCUAUGCAGGCCUCCUGUAAAUGCUGCAGAAAUACCUUAAAGCCUCUGUUUUAAGGUUGUACCUUCCUAUGAUGCCUGGAGUAGAUAGGCUAUCAAGCUGGUAAUCUGCCUGUAUGGGAGAUUUUGUUGUCUGAUUAUUCCUUAUACUUUCUUCUCUUUUGGUAUCUCUUUACUCUUUCUUAUCUCAGGCACUAAAACAGAAAACAAACUGCUUUGAUUCUGAUCUGCAUGAAACUCUCAGAUUGAUGUAUGUUGGUCCAUCAUCAGGACUGCCUUGCUACAGCAGUUUUACAGAACUUCCCCUGGAAACUACAGGGAGCCCUAAUAUCUCCGUAAUGAAAUAGCUUUACCAUGUGCUCAACUUGAGUUUCUCAAGUCCCAGAGAAAAUAAGACCAGAAAUGUCAGCCUUCUUUGUUUUGAUGCUCAAUCGACAAUUUGCUGACUUUAUUUGUAGCUUCGAAAUCAUAGAAUCAUAGAAUCGCUAAGGUUGGAAAAGAC